rnacentral:rRNA from 1 species
GACGAACCGUGCGAACGUUAUUCGGAAUCAUUGGGCUUAAAGGGCGCGUAGGCGGAUUUGCAAGUCUGUGGUGAAAUCCUCCAGCUUAACUGGAGAAGUGCCAUGGAUACUGCGAGUCUCGAGGAAGGUAGGGGCAUCUGGAACUGCCGGUGGAGCGGUGAAAUGCGUUGAUAUCGGCAGGAACUCCGGUGGCGAAGGCGAGAUGCUGGAUCUUUUCUGACGCUGAGGCGCGAAAGCCAGGGGAGCAAACGGG